rnacentral:rRNA from 1 species
UACGAAGGGGGCUAGCGUUGUUCGGAAUUACUGGGCGUAAAGCGUGCGCAGGCGGCUUCUCAAGUCAGGGGUGAAAGCCCAGAGCUCAACUCUGGAAUUGCCUUUGAGACUGAGUGGCUUGAGUACGAGAGAGGUGAGUGGAAUUCCCAGUGUAGAGGUGAAAUUCGUAGAUAUUGGGAGGAACACCAGUGGCGAAGGCGGCUUCCUGGACCUGUUCUGACGCUGAGGAGCGAAAGCGUGGGGAGCGAUCCGG